GAUGAAGAACGUAGCGAAAUGCGAUAAGUAAUGUGAAUUGCAGAAUUCAGUGAAUCAUCGAAUCUUUGAACGCACCUUGCACCCUUUGGCAUUCCGAAGGGUAUGCUCGUUUGAGUGUCAUUGUACUCUCACUCUCCCGAUGCUUUUGGAUCGGGAGUGGUGGACUUGGGUGUUGCUGCUUUGCUGUGGCUCGCCUCAAAUGGAGUAGUGCAACUCUUGGUUGGACAUAGUACGGCGUGAUAAGUGUCUUCGCCGGCGACUCAUUAUAGAGGGUGGCCGAUCGGGAGCUCUGUGCUUCAAACCGUCUUCGGACAACAUCUGACAACUUGACCUCAAAUCGAGUAGGACUACCCGCUGAACUUAAGCAUAUCAAUAAGCGGAGGA
rnacentral:misc_RNA from 1 species